rnacentral:rRNA from 1 species
AUACGGAGGAUCCGAGCGUUAUCCGGAUUUAUUGGGUUUAAAGGGUGCGUAGGCGGUUUGCUAAGCGGGAGGUGAAAUGCCGGCGCUCAACGUCGGAAGUGCCUCCCGAACUGGUGGACUUGAAUGACUCUGCCGUGGGAGGAAUGUGUAGUGUAGCGGUGAAAUGCUUAGAGAUUACACAGAACACCGAUUGCGAAGGCAUCUCACGAAGGGUUGAUUGACGCUGAGGCACGAAAGCGUGGGGAUCAAACAGGAUUAGAUACCCUGGUAGUCCACGCAGUAAACGAUGAUGGCUAACCGCUGGGCUUAUCAGUUCAGUGGCCAAGCGAAAGCGAUAAGCCAUCCACCUGGGGAGUACGACCGCAAGGUUGAAACUCAAAGGAAUUGACGGGG